rnacentral:tRNA from 1 species
GCCCUGGUGGUGUAGUAGUUAGCACGCCCGUCUGGCAAGCGGGAGAUAUCAGGCUCCAUUUCUGACCGGGACA